rnacentral:snRNA from 1 species
UGUCAAAGUGAAGAAAUU